CGCGCCAUCCGCGUCUAUAUCCCACACCCCCCUACGCCGCUGGCGCCUGGUCCAUCUCGUUCCUCAUCCAUCUGGCGCAAACAACCAAACGUCUUGCGCGGCGUUCGACGUCUCACGACAUGUGCCAAAAGCACGGUCAAGGAGGACCAAGCCCAAGGAAGCCCUGACGCCUCCGAAGAAGACGGAAGAGGCCUUCCUAAACCCGUCGGCGAGGAACAAUCGAGGGAGAAGUUUUUUUUGAUGGUUUGAGAACCAACCUCCUGAGAUUUUGGUGAACGUGGUGAGCCGGGAUAGGGUUGCUGCAAUCCAAAGAGCAAUUGUUGUGCCAGCAGGUCAACUACGGAAACGUUGACGAGUUUCGCACGUUCCAG
rnacentral:lncRNA from 7 species